UUCAGUUCUUAAAUUAAUUUUCCCCUGACGUACGUGGGUACCUUUUAAUGUGAAUGUCUACAUUUCACCAUUUUUUAAAAUGUUCGGUUAGUUGUUUCAGUUAGCGGCGGAGCGAAAAUGACUCAGCGAAAACAACAACAGAUUUGAUGUUAACAAUUAUGGACUACUCGUGAAUAGUUUCAUCUUCAUUGAAUUGAUGUUUUGACUCCGAUUCUGUAUGGAGGACGUUAAUGGUAUAUGUGCAUCAUCAUUAUUAAGCGCAUCUUCUUGCGAUCGUUUGACUCUGAUUAAAAAGAUGGCCCUCUAUACAGCACCCGCUGACAACUAAUGAGCCAAACGGAAGAAGAAAGAGGGUCAGUGUCGGUGAAGGACAGAAUGAAGAAACUGGACCAGUUUGAUCAGCACGCCAUUCAUCGAGG
rnacentral:lncRNA from 1 species